rnacentral:lncRNA from 1 species
ACCCACCCGCGUCACAGGGUUCAGUGGUCCGUGCAGACGUUAGGACUUCAAAACCGGGAAGAGAAAGAGCAGCCCAGUUUCACGAUUUUCACCUCCUCCGCAGAGUAAUGCAGUGCGGUGUGCGCAAAGGCCAGCGUCAGCCUGAGUCAUCUUCACUCAGGAAAUGAUUGCAGGAGACCGAAUGUGUCACGAAACCCCAGGGAAACCAUAUUUCAGGCUGAAGACAGGGAGGAUUUCCUUCUGAGGGCAAGUCUUCUUUUCUGCAGGUGGCGAGCAGCUUACAUUGGAGUCAAGCAUGGAGCAGGAGCCUAGGGGCUUCAGCCAGCCCAUCUGGCCCCCCGCCAGGCCACGGCCCGCGAAGAGCCGCACUCCAGGGUCACAAGCAGCAAUUGCAGCUUUCCUCUGCAGCCGAGAUGCCAGCGGAGUCCGCACCCUGGCUGCUGGCUCUGCCUCUCGGGCCGGCUUCGCCCAGCCUGGUUUGGCCCUAAUUAGAAAUACCGGCCAUGGCUUUUAUUCGGUGGUAGGGAUUCACCCAGGAGAAUUUGUCCCUCUCCUGAGGAGUCCUGGAGCAAUUAGCACCAAAGCAUCGAAGUCAUGCACCAUGGGGAAGAGACUCUCCUUGGAAGCAGUGGAGAGGGACCUCACACGGCGCCUCACUGAAGAGAAGCCAGCGAGCAAUGCCAGCACUCGCUGUUGGAAGGGAAGCACCCAGCACCCCGUACCCAGCAGGGCCACCCUGGAGAACCCAGCACUGUCAGACAUGUGGGAGCUGUGGCCUGAGUCAGUACAUGGCCUGGCUGUGAACCCCAGUUGGAAUUACCCUCUGCCCGAGGGAUCUUUUCCCCACGGGCAUCAGUGCCUGCUGCACACUUCCCCAUGGCUGCUGGGUGGUCAGCUCUGCAGUCCCGGGGCAGGUUUCCAGCUCCGGCCUGCAGGGUCUGGGUGAGCUGCAUUUGUCCCCUGGAACUUCUGUCUGCCUCAUGGACAAGACUUUCGAUGGACAUAGUAAUCCCAGCAACCCGGGAGGCCAAGGCAGGAGGAUUGCAAGUUCUGGCCCAGCCUAUACAACUUAGGGAGACCCUGUCUCAAAAUAAAAUAUAUAUAUACACGUAAGUGUCCUGGGGAUGCAGCUCAGUGGGAAGGCCCUCGACUUCAUCCCCAGUACCAUCACAGAUGAACAAACAAAACAAGAAUAACAAUAAACCACAGCCAUGGCUGAGAUGCCAGCCCAUCAC